AAGUCUCCAGCCCUUGUAGCAGCUUAGCACUGAAUUAAGACAGACAAUUAGUGUGUAGCAGUCAGUAGAGGCUGAGUGUACAGAACACAGAGUGGUGAGGACCUAGGAACAAGGCGAACUGAGGAUGCUGGUCAAUGACAAAUGCACGCCAGGCACGGAGAAGAAGGGUGUCUGUGCUCUGCCUUAGGAAACCACCACAGAGAGUUUGAUGAUUUAUUUUUUUUCCCCCAGAAGAGAAAAGAAAACAUACAGAAAGAGAAAAAAAUGAAGAAGCAUCAGUGGAAAUGAAAUGCCUGGGAGCAAGGACUGAGGCAACCUUAAGCACUGCUGUGAGGGAGAAGGAAAUGGUUUGCCUGAGCUGAUCAUGCAGAAAAAAAAAAAAACCAAACCAGCAAAGGAAACAGCGUUUCUAGGAGGCACCAACUGGAUGAGAUGGAUCACAGGAUGAAGUAUCAGUUUACUCAUGCAGUCUGUUCCCAAGGCAGAGGCCAGUUUUGCUGACAUAUGUGCCCACUUAGAUGCAGAGUCUCAGGACUGAACAAAAGGCUGCUACGCUCAAAACGUGUGGACAUGCCUGCCACAUGAAGUGCAAAAUUCAAAGAGCAAAAGGGGCAGCCUCCCAAGUGCUGAAGAUGGAUUGCACGGUAACAGAAAGAAAAAAAAAAAAAAAAAAAAAAAGAGAGAGUUCAAAAUGAGAGGAGCUGAUGCUUACAACUGAACUAAGCCUCAUGUUUCCUCCUAUAAGAUGAUGUCCAUUUCUUCCUCCCUCAAGCCCCCAAAUAAUUUCAGUUUCACAGUGUACCCAGGAAUGGCACUUUUGCCCUCUAUUUCUCAUGCCUGAGAUGUAACAGAUGCUCCCAACCAGGUGUGCCGGCUAGUUAAACAUGGCACAUCCAGUGCUGCCAUUCCCAGAAGGUCUGAUGAGGACUUCACUUCUACAUUUACAGGAGGUUCUACCAUAUUAAAACCUCAUGGUUUUAUUUUUCAGGGACAAAACUUGCAGGUUGGCAAGCAAUGAAGCUCUUGCAUGUGGCUAUAAAAACAGGUAAAUAAAAUAUUCCAUAGGAAAAGAAAAUAUGAGCAAUGGGAGCUAUUAAAAUUGCUGCCCAUUCCUGGAAGCUUCUGACCACAUGGACCAAUUUCCAGUCUUCCUUCCUUCAGUGCCAUUAUGUAACGGAGAGAUUUAAUAAACAUUUCGCAGCCAAAACA